CCUACGGGAGGCAGCAGUGAGGAAUAUUGGUCAAUGGGCGGAAGCCUGAACCAGCCAAGUAGCGUGCAGGAUGACGGCCCUACGGGUUGUAAACUGCUUUUAUACGGGAAUAACGCGCCUUACGUGUAGGGCUUUGCAUGUACCGUAUGAAUAAGGACCGGCUAAUUCCGUGCCAGCAGCCGCGGUAAUACGGAAGGUCCGGGCGUUAGCCGGAUUUAUUGGGUUUAAAGGGAGCGUAGGCGGCAUGUCAAGCGUGCUGUGAAAUGUUGGGGCUCAACCCGGGCAUUGCAGUGGGAACUGGCGGGCUUGAGUCCGCGGAAGGCAGGCGGAAUUCGUGGUGUAGCGGUGAAAUGCUGAGAUAUGACGAAGAACCCCGAUUGCGAAGGCAGCUUGCUGCAGCGUAACUGACGCUGAUGCUCGAAAGCGCGGGUAUCGAACAGGAUUAGAUACCCUUGUAGUC
rnacentral:rRNA from 1 species